rnacentral:rRNA from 1 species
AACAGGAUUAGAUACCCUGGUAGUCCAUGCCAUAAACGAUGACGACUAGACGUUGAGACGUUUGACUCCCAGUGUCGCAGCUAACGCGAUAAGUCCUCCGCCUGGGGAGUACGGGCCCCAGGAUGAAACUCCAAAUGAAUUGACGGGGACCCCCCCAAGCGGUGGAACAUGGGGUUUAAUUUCAUGCCACCCGAAAAACCUUUACUGGCCUUGACAUGUCGAGAACUUUUCAGAGAUGGGAUUGGUGGCCUUCGGAACUCGAACACAGGUGCUGCAUGGCUGUCGUCAGCUCGUGUCGUGAGAUGUUGGGUUAAGUCCCGCAACGAGCGCAACCCUUGUCCUUAUUUGCCAGCACGUAAUGGUGGGAACUCUAAGGAUACUGCCGGUGACAAACUGGAGGAAGGUGGGGACGACGUCAAGUCAUCAUGGCCCUUACGGCCAGGGCUACACACGUGCUACAAUGGUCGGACAGAGGGCUGCUACCUAGCGAUAGGAUGCCAAUCUCAGAAACCCUAUCUCAGUCCGGAUUGGAGUCUGCAACUCGACUCCAUGAAGUCGGAAUCGCUAGUAUCGCAGAUCAGAAUGCUGCGGUGAAUACGUUCCCGGGCCUUGUACACACCGCCCGUCACACCAUGGGAGUUUGUUGCACCAGAAGCAGGUAGCCUAACCGUCGAGAGGGCGCUUACCACGGUGUGGCCGAUGACUGGGGUGAAGUCGUAACAAGGUAGCCGUA